AUUGAACGCUGGCGGAAUGCUUUACACAUGCAAGUCGAGCGGCAGCACGGGGGCAACCCUGGUGGCGAGCGGCGAACGGGUGAGUAACACAUCGGAACGUACCCUGUCGUGGGGGAUAACGAGUCGAAAGAUUCGCUAAUACCGCAUACGACCCGAGGGUGAAAGCGGGGGAUCGCAAGACCUCGCGCGACUGGAGCGGCCGAUGGCGGAUUAGCUAGUUGGUGGGGUAAAGGCCCACCAAGGCGACGAUCCGUAGCGGGUCUGAGAGGACGGCCCGCCACACUGGGACUGAGACACGGACCCGACUCCUACGGGAGGCAGCAGUAAGGAAUAUUGGUCAAUGGAGGGAACUCUGAACCAGCCAUCCCGCGUGAAGGAUGAAGGGGCUCUGCCUUGUAAACUUCUUUUGCAUGGGACGAAAAAACUUAAUUUAUUAAGGACUGACGGUACCAUGAGAAUAAGCACCGGCUAACUCCGUG
rnacentral:rRNA from 1 species